UCCCCUCUAACACCCACAGAUUUUCUUUUCUCCUCUACCAUCCACAUUUUUAACACUCAGCAUGAAAAUGACGCUUUGCGUCUCUUGUUUUGUAGGGCUUAUGGAAAUCUCACCUAUCUAAUGCAAAAUAAAACUGCACACAGGAGCCUAAUGAACAGCUGAGCGUGAAAAUUAGAGGCGAAGAUGUUUACGCUUGCACAGGCUGCGCAUAUGACAGAGGUGGCCUUGAGUGUGAGGAGGGCCAGCCCGACGCUGCGCCAUUUUUCAGUGGCCUUGAAUUAUCAUUUGGAUUCUCAGCACAACAACCCCAAUGUGCCCUGCGAUUUUACAGAACUUAACAAGGAGCAGAGGGUGGGGAUAAGUUAUCAGUAUUUGAGUCGCAGGGCUUUCAGUCUGUCAUCUGGAAAAGUUAUUAGCAAGGAGGAGAAAGCAGGUCAGGAUGCCUUCAUGAGGUCACUCAAUGAGAAAAUGAAUCAGAUGAACCUGGGGAAACUUGGAAGCAAGUCAGUAGGCAAAGAAUCAUCUGACCUGCCAUCCGCCAAAUAUCAUGGAGCCGUUCCUGGCAAUGAUACUGCAUUGCUGUCCAGGUCAGAGAAAAAGAUGGUUCACAACAAGAAGGUAUACAAGUUGAUUGAGGAAUAUGAUCAGUUGUUGGUAUGCUCGGCAGACAAUGUGGGACCCCAUCAGUUACAAUCCAUCCGUCAGCAUCUGAGGCCUAACUCAGUUGUUUUCUUGGGCAAAAAUGCAAUGAUGAAGACAGCCAUAAAGGCUUUUGCAGAGAAGUCUGGGACUAUUGUUUAUCAGAACAUGAUACCCUUGCUUGUGGGAAAUGUUGCUCUUAUUUUCACAAAAGGUGGCUUGAUUGAUGCAGUUGUACCCCCUGGCAACACGGUUUUAGAGCUCAUGAAGAAGGGAGAGAAAGCCAGUUCUUCUGAGGCAGAUUUGCUUGCCAAGCUUGGUAUUCUCCCAUUGUCACAUGGACUUGUCGUGAAGGCUAUGUAUGGAAAUAGAUCAGUAUUUGAUCCUGCUGUCCUUGAUAUUGUAGAGGAAGAAUUAAAAGAAAAAUUUUCUGCUGUUUUUUCUUUGUGGCAACCGUUUCUAUCUCUCUCAACAAUCCUACAUUAGCAGCUGCCCCAUGUUAAUUCAAUAAAUAAUGUUUUUUUCACAUAUUUCGGAUGCAUCUUCGUGGUUAUAAUUGCUACUUGAGUGCAGAGAUGCUUCUUAAUUGUAGUCUCAUCUUGUCUUGAGCUUUACUAAAUUAUAAGGCAGAAACAAUGAAACUGUUUUAGUUAGUUCUCAAAUUUUUUAAUUGUACCAUUUCAAUUUUGAACCA